GCCUUCUUAGCUCAGUGGUAGAGCGUUGCACUUGUAAUCAAUUGUGGUUCUAUGCAAAGGUCAGUCGUUCAAUCCGGCUAGGAGGCA
rnacentral:tRNA from 1 species